UAAAUUAAUAUUUAUACAACAUCCAUUUUUUUUCUCUUACAACUAGAACAUGAUUCACAUCGAAGAAGAAAUCGCUCUUCUAAAUUUUUUGAACCAUGAUUAUUUUCGACCGGUUGUUUACGAGAACAGCCCAAAUAAACAAUUCACUGAUGAAGAUGAAGAAAUACCAGAAAUAUCAGAAACUUACUGAGUGAUUACAGGCAUUCAACAUGGAUCAAAGGUUUAUGUUGAUUUAGAUAUUACAAGCACUAAGCCAUAACCAACCGCAUAGGUAUAGGUAGUUUGUGAGCAUCAAAUAAAUUGGGGUUUUAAGUUUUGUUUUUGUAGAUAAUCAGUGAAUGAAGAACUCAUUGACAACAGGAUUACCAUUAACGCUAGAUAUCAACACAACCAUGGACCUGCAAAUACAAAUGUAGAUGUACCUUUCUUAAAAGAAGCGAUUGGUGCAGAAGCCAUCAAUCCUGAAAAUAUGUCUGUCUUAGUUAGGACUGUACAGCAGCAAUGUAAUUGUUGAGUAUGUUAUUGAGUUAAUAUUUUAUUUUAAGUACUACCUAUUUUUAAAAAAUUUUUAGCU
rnacentral:lncRNA from 1 species